rnacentral:rRNA from 1 species
UGCAUGUCUAAGUUCAAGCGAAAAUAAAGUGAAACCGCGAAUGGCUCAUUACAUCAGUUAUGGUUCCUUAGAUCGCACUUACUACUUGGAUAACUGUGGUAAUUCUAGAGCUAAUACAUGCGCUGGGCCCCAACCCUCGUGGAAGGGGCGCUUUUAUUAGAUCAAAGCCAAUCGGGCCUUCGGGCUCGUUUAAUUGGUGACUCUGAAUAACUUUGCUGAUCGCAUGGUCUCGUACCGGCGACGUAUCUUUCAAGUGUCUGCCUUAUCAACUGUCGAUGGUAGGUUAUGCGCCUACCAUGGUUGUAACGGGUAACGGGGAAUCAGGGUUCGAUUCCGGAGAGGGAGCCUGAGAAACGGCUACCACAUCCAAGGAAGGCAGCAGGCGCGCAAAUUACCCACUCCCGGCACGGGGAGGUAGUGACGAAAAAUAACGAUGCUAAACUCAUACGAGGCUUAGCAAUCGGAAUGAGUACACUUUAAAUCCUUUAACGAGGAUCUAUUGGAGGGCAAGUCUGGUGCCAGCAGCCGCGGUAAUUCCAGCUCCAAUAGCGUAUGUUCAAGUUGCUGCGGUUAAAAAGCUCGUAGUUGGAUCUCGGUUUCGGGAGGGCGGUGCGCCCAGCGGCGUUUACUGUCCACCCGGACGAUUUUGUUGGUUCGUUCAUGGUGCUCUUAACCGGGUGCCUUGAGUGGCCAGCACGUUUACUUUGAAAAAAUUGGAGUGCUCAAAGCAGGCGCUACAGCCUGAACAAUUGUGCAUGGAAUAAUGGAAUAGGACCUCGGUUCUAUUUCGUUGGCUUUCGGAGUCGAGGUAAUGAUUAAUAGGGACAGACGGGGGCAUUCGUACUGCGACGUUAGAGGUGAAAUUCUUGGAUCGUCGCAAGACGAACUACUGCGAAAGCAUUUGCCAAGAAUGUUUUCAUUAAUCAAGAACGAAAGUUAGAGGUUCGAAGGCGAUCAGAUACCGCCCUAGUUCUAACCAUAAACGAUGUCGACUGGCGAUCCGUCCCCGUUAACUGAAUGACUGGACGGGCAGCCUCCGGGAAACCAAAGUCUUUGGAUUCUGGGGGAAGUAUGGUUGCAAAGCUGAAACUUAAAGGAAUUGACGGAAGGGCACCACCAGGAGUGGAGCCUGCGGCUUAAUUUGACUCAACACGGGAAAACUCACCAGGCCCGGACACCGGAAGGAUUGACAGAUUGAGAGCUCUUUCUUGAUUCGGUGGGUGGUGGUGCAUGGCCGU